GAGGUGCGAGCGGAUCGCACUGGCAGGCAAUUAGGCCUCAAACAAUGGCCCGUGAAAUGUCAGAAGUGGCAAGGAAGGGUCGUGGUGGAACAGCGGGAUGACAACGGGGCGCUCGAGCAAGCAUCCUGGCUCUUCUGGGACGACAGAGAAGAAAAAGCCAACCGCUUUCUAGGAGGUGCUGUACCUGCGGGACCAUAGAACUUUCUCAAAUGUGAAUCCUAUACAACAGUCACUUGGAUGAGACAACCUCAUGGAACAAAACAUUAAAGCCAAGUUUGCCACUAGAGCCAGAGCGCCAU
rnacentral:lncRNA from 1 species